rnacentral:lncRNA from 1 species
CCUUUUGUAAAAUCCCACUCAGGUUUAGUUGAAAAGAUGAAUGAAAAAAUUAGUCUUUUUCCUUUCAUUUGUCCCUUCCUUCCUUUCUUUUUCACUUAUUUAUUUAGCCAGCAUGGGCUGUGACACCUGCUAUUCCUUUGCCCACUUGUCUUCCUCUGAAAGACUUUUGGAAAUUUUCAUUCAACAUGUGUAGCCUGUAUGGGAUAAGGACUUGGCCUCUAGGAAAUACGGGAAGCCAUGCUUCCAGUUCUGAGGCUGCUGGAAAAUCUGGAGCAAUAAAAUAAACCUCCAUCUUCAUGAUGGAAUGUGUUUGAAUAGUCUGCCCUCACUGGGACGUCUAACCUACACAUCAAAAGUUAAAUAGGAAAAGAAUGAAGUAAAAACACAGAGCAACAAAUGCAAAGGUGAGGUAUCCCACAUGUAAAGUAUUAAUAAUGAAUGCUAGGUAUUUACUAGGGUCAGACACAGCACCCAAAUAGAUGCAAAUGUGCAUGAGAUGCAACUUCUAAGAGCUCAGUGUGGAGGAGAGAGGCCAGUGGCUCAUUUGUGGUACAGCUCUGGGCUGGCAGAUAGAACACAUAUGCUGGAAGCAAUUCCUCCUGUACAGAGCAUCAGAAGACUUCACAUAGAAGGCUACCCUUGGACUGAAACUUAAAGAUGAAAUGGAGAGGUGAGGAGGAUGGCAUUUCAGGCAACGGGAACAGCAUGUACAAGGCAUGUGGGCCAGAAAAAACAAAGAAAGUUUGGUUAACUGCAAGUUGCUCAGUAGAGGCUGGGGCAGUGUAGGUCAGCCAGGGUCCAAGAGGGGUAGACAGGUCACACAGGAACUGUCCGCCCUAGCUGGCUUGGUGGCACUCCAAUUUAGGUCUGGCAUUAGGAUAAUAGCACUCUCUUUUGCCCUCCGAAGUAUUCCUGUUUGGUCACUGUUUGGUCAAUAACUUGUAGAGUCACCGGGUCUUAAGCAAGAGAGGAACACGCUCCAGGCUGUGUUUGGAGUAAUCACUCUGACCACCAGGUGGAUGAGCUGGAAGGGGUGAGACUGGAGGCUUGAUGGUGGUCUUUUGAGGUCCAUCCAGCCCUGGCACUUUUUGAUCCAGAUAGCUCUGGACCAGACACUGCUCCUAGAAGAGCACCCAACUGUCUUUUACUACUGGAUAAAUGUCCAAUGCGCCUAUAGAUGUGACAGAGCAGAGGGGAGGGUGAUACUUCUGUGACCUGUGUUCUGGGCAGGAUUCCUGGAGAAGGUGGAUCUGGACCUUGACCUUGAAGUAUGGGUAGGAUUCUAAUUGGCACUAGGUGGAUGUGCUGUGAGCCACGGUGUGGUGGUAAAGAUGAUCAGGACAUAGAGAGAGGAUACUUAAGAACCCUUACAUAACCUGCCAGCUGCCACAACUGCCACCCAAUCAUGAUAAAAGUUUACAAGCAUUUGCCUUCUGAUAUUUCUCCCUCUACAUCUCCAGGAAGUGUGCAGGCAGUGCAUUCUCUUGUGUAUGCCAAGAGCCCUUUGAGCAGAGCACUGGGAGCCAUCUGCACAAGGUGGCUCAAUGUAGGGUCUGCCCUCCUUUUAGUCUAGGCUCCCAGGAAAAGUCCCUGCAUGCUUACAACUCUAGGGAUUUUGACAGAGAAGACACCCAACAGCAUUGUCAGAUUGAAUGACCAGAGAGGAAACAGACGAUUGAAAGGAUUGAGUGAUUUGCCCAAGGUCAUAUGGGGAGCAGGUACUGGCAGUGAAGCUUGGACACAAGACUCUAGAACCUGUUCUUACAUUGGAACCAUGUGGUCACUAUACUCAAAAUGUAGACUUUAGUGUUGAGAGGCAUCAUGGUUAAGACGUGAUUCUAUCCAACAAGGAACCAUGAGGUUGUAGGUUCAAUCCCUGGCUUCACUCAGUGGGAUAAGGAUCCAGCAUGGCCGUGAGCUGUGGUGUAGGUCACAGAUGCAGCUUGGAUCUGGUGUUGCUGUGGCUGUGGUGAAGGCCAGCGGCUACAGCUCUGAUUAGACCCCUAGCCUGGGAACCUCCAUAUGACACAGGUGCAGCCCUCAAAAAGACAAAAGAAAAAAAAAAGUGAUUCUAACUGCAUAGGGUUUACAUUUCACUACUCUAAGCCUCUCCUUCUCUUUUGGCUUCUCUGGGUCUUUGUACAUCCUUCAGCCCAGGAUGAACUUUCCUUCUAUCUCUCUACAAAACCUCAUGCUCCCUUCAAGAUCCAGCCAGAACAACCCUCUGCUGCAGUACUGUUCCCACCACCCUGGCUGAGGGAGCGAGCCUUCCUUGCUGCUUCCAGGGCUCCAAGCUCAAACAGCAGGCGUCAGUGGUAGACUGCAUUGUAUAGUGGGCUAUUUACCAAGCAGAACACAUUGUAGGGUCUGCCUUUUCUGCCAUACUGUGAACCCCUAGGGAUAGAGGAUAUCUCAUUUAUCUUUAUAUCCUUGGUACCCCGACUAGCUCGUCAUAGGUAUCUGAUGAAUAUUUGUUGAAUAAAUGAGUGAAUGUGCUUAACCAGAAUCCAGAGCUCACAGUGUGAUCGUAUACUAAUUAUAUCCUGUCUUACUGGUUUUCUGUUGGGUUCAGCCCAUUGGAGACCCCAGCAGGAGAUCAGAGGCUGGGAGGGAAUGAGGUGGACUCUCUUUAUUCUCCUCCCUCACUUUUAGUCUUAGAGAGUGGUAUAUUGGUUUGCCAGGACUUCCCUGACAAAGUACCCCAGACUGGGUGGCUUAAUAAAAACUUAAUUUCUCACAGUCCAGGAAGAUAGAUGUCCAAGAUCAAGAUGUCAGCAGAGUGUUUCCUUCUGAGGUCUCUCUCCUUGGCUUGUAAUUACCCUUCUGCGUCUUCCCUUAGUUUUCUCCCUGUAUGAGUCUAUGUCUAAAGUUUCUCUUCUAAGAACAUCAGUCGUAUUAGAUUAAGUGCCCACACUAACUACCCCAUUUUAACUUAGUAUCUCUUUAAAGACUCUACCUCCAAAUGUAGUCACAUUCUGAAGUCCAGGGGUUAGGACUUAAACAUAUAAGUUUUGGGGGACAAGAUUCAGCCCACAACAGGUGGCAAAGUCUCCUCACUGUUGCAAGUGCCUAAGUGCUAGUCCCUAACCUUGUCCAUGCCUCUAUAACAGUAUCUUCCUAAGUGCUAUUUAAUUUGACCCUUUGCAAGUGUGCUCGCUAUUUUCUGUCGGAUCUCUAGUGGAUACAGAUAUUGAUGGCUGCAGUGGUAAUAAUCUGCAACUACUAUAGAAUUCCUUGAGAAAGGCAAAGUUUCAUGUUAAACUCUGGGAGAAAUUUAAAUCCAAAUAAUGAGCCUGUCCCUCUCUGUGCCUCAUUCUCUCCCUCUGCAGGAUGGGGAUAGGAAAGCAGGAGUUUUACGGAAGUCCAUUGUGAUAGAGGGUGGGACAACUUUGCAAACUGGAAAGAGCAGUGAGAGCAGAGGUGUACUGAGUCCAAGUGGGUAGUGGACCCACUUCUCCAGAGAGCAGCUUUAUGAAUCUGGAUGCCUGGGUCAGGAGCCUGAUGAUCAAAGCUGCAAAAAGGGGAGGGAUAUCCCAAAAGACAAGACGUGGCCAUUAGCAACAGAAGGGGGAGUGGGGAUGAGGCAUUUUUUCACAGUCCCCAGUAAAGCGAGCCUUUUGUCAGGAUAAGUUCUAGAUGUAAGGAAGAGCUUCCUUCUUCCUUCUUAGUAAUCAUGACCUACCUCAUGGGCUUGCUGAGUAUCUAGGGAAAACAGUCUAGGCAGAGAUCCUGGAUACAUCUAUUUAGGAUGAUGUUGACAUAGAGAGGACCAGUAUGUUCAUGCAGAAGCCAUGUUUCCUGUUUCUAUAAACAUCUAUAAUGUGAAAAAAGGCUUCCAUGGGUCCAUGGCACAAUUUAUAGCUUGCUUGUGCCAACAUAAAUCAAGCAUGCAUACCAUCCCAAUGAAAUAAGGCAGAGCGUUGAUUUAAGGUGGUGGAGACCUGCAAACAGUGUAGAUUCCAAGGCAACUCAUUCUUGCACCCUGUGAUUGCGUUAGUGUUCAUCUUUGGGAGCAGAGAAGGUCUAUCUGACCAUGUGGUGUGGUGGAGAGGGAGUGGGUUUUGACAUUAGACCAUAUGGGUUCAUGGCAGGUGUGGGAUCACAUUUUUAUUUAAGCUUAGUCUUUUCUAUAACAUAAGCCUAACAGAAUUGCCUCAAAAAAUUGUUGAGGGUAUUAAAUGAGGCAAAAGGGCUUUAGUAGGUUCUACUUUGGUGAUAAAGUCGUCUUUGUUUCCGUAAGCUCUCGGGUUUUGUUUAAUUUUUUAAAUGUCUUGUAAUUUAAAAUUGGUCUCCGGACUGGCAAAGGUCAAGUCAGUCACAAGCCAUGAACUCCAAAGUCACUGUAAAGAACUUUCCAUGUACUUGGCGACAAUGAACAUGGCCCAAGACCUAGUCAUAAGUUCUGUCCAACAGAGCGCUGAAGACCUUGAAGCCCUUUCACUUGCACUACCUCCUGUAGAUUCGAAUUCUCAUAGCUAUCUUUGCAUGGGGGCAGGUGGUUUUACCUACAUCUUUAGUAAUUAUUAUAGAGUAAUAAAAAUGGAAUAAUUUAGUAGCAAGAGAAGUCAAGUUUUCAGCCCAAAGCAUUGUACCUCUUGGGGAUUACAUUGGUGUCAGGGGCUCCUGGAGAUCCAUAGCUGUUUCUCAGAAAGAAAAAUACAUGUGGAAUGUCUCUUAUGAGUCAACCUUAGAAGCAUUGUGUUUAGUAGAUUUAGAAGAUGGGACUUUGGCCCCUAACUGCUACCCACUCACCAUGAGACCUUGUGCAGUCAAUUUCCUACUCUUGGCCUCAAUUUCUUCAUUGGCAGAAGAGGAAUAUUCCAAUCCUAACUAAUAGACAUACAAGGAAAGACCCAGUGACAGAAUGAAUAUACAGUAGUUUGUGAACAGUGACUACAAGGCCUCUUAAGUUAACAGGACCCCCCCCCAAAAAAAAAUGUUGAUUUCUGCUCCUCAAACCUCAUCCUCACCCAACUUCAGUCAAUGGCACCAGCAACCACCCACCCCUUGAUUUCCUCACCCACCAAGUAACAUUCAACAGCAAGCCUUCCUAACUACUUCCUUGGCUGUAGAAUGAUCAUUUUUUAUUUCUUAUAUAUUUCUUUUAAUAUAUUUUUAACCUUUUAUUUUAAAAUAGUUUUGACUUGCAGAAAUGUUGCAAUGUUUGUACAAAACAUUUUAAUGUAUCCUUCACUCAGAUUCCCCAAAUAUUAACAUUCAACUGUAUUUGCUUCCUCCUCCCCCCCCACCCCCUUUCUCUCUUUCCCAGUCUCUCUCUUUCUCCAAUUAGGUAGGUAGGUAGAAAUGCACGAGAGAGAGAGAGAGAGAGAGAGAGAGAUACUUAAAUACAGAAAUAUAGGUGUGCAUCAUUCAAGUCUCAGCUGAAAUGCCACCUCUGAAAGGUCACCUUCCCUGACCAUUUAAUGUUCCGAUCAUACCAUUGUAAUUGCAGUUCUCAACAAUGCUGAGCUGAAGCUGCUAUUUUUCUUAGCUAUUUAUUUACCUCCUUGCCUCCCCAACAAGAACAUAUUUUAUAAGGGAACUGGACUUGUGUGUCUUGCCUUGUUCACUGCCAAAUCCUCAGAACCUAGAACAGGCCUGCACAGAACAGAGAUGCUGCAUCUCUGCUGCAUCAGUGAAUUGGGGAAAUGCUGUGUCUGGCCAGUGGAGGAUCCACAAAGGCACACGUUGUGGUCUCCAUGGUCAAGGUCUGGAUGUCCUCCAGGGCCAACACCAGCUGCAGUAUAGUAGUAGUUGCAGAAUAGCUACACUCAUC